AAUGUCAAUGCACAAUGUCUUGGGGCCUUUUUCUGAUAGUUCCCUCUGAGCUAAAUGAACGGGUCCGUGCAUGCUUUGUCAGAUAUUUUUACCUUUAAUAAACUGCCUUGAAUCAUACCUUAUCCACCUGGUCCAGCGUCUCAACUUGGUCUCUCUCCUCUAGUAACUGUAUCAUCAACAAAACAUGGUAGCAGAGGACGGUUGAUAUAAGAACCUGAAUUCAGUCCAAAGGAGGUUGAUGAGAGGAGAGGCAAGUUGGAGGCAAAUCCAGAGAGACGGGUGACCUGAAAAGGAGCCGCCGGGGAUUCAUCUCACCUCAGGAACCUGAUCUAAAACGUCGACUAAACAAAGAUGGAUGCUGCUACAGAGGAGAAAAGGGGAACAUAGCAGCAUAUGCAGUGGUGCAACAGCUUCCAGAUGGGUCACACGUGACUCUGGAAUCUGCUAUUAUCCCACAACCUGCAUCAGCCCAGUUAGCUGAAAUCAUAGGUUUGACACAAGCACUGGAAACAGCUGAAGGAAAGACUGUGAACAUAUACAUCGACUCAGCUUAUGCUCACGGGGCAGUCCAUACGGAUGGACCACAAUGGCUGAGGCGAAACUUCACCACCCCAGGCAACCUACCAAUCAAACACAAGGCACAGAUGGAGAAACUGAUUAAAGCAGUCUCACUACCUGGGAAGGUGGCCAUCAUGAAGUGCAAAGGACACCAACAACUGAGAAGCCGAAUCAGCGAAGGCAAUGAUGCAGCUGACAAAGCAGCCAAGAAAGCGGGCGGUUACACCCCGAGACAAUAGUACUACAGACUCAACCAGCACCAACUGAGCUCACAGAGCAACACAUCAAAGAAUUCCAGUUCUCAGCAGGACCGUAUGAACACUCAGUGUGGGGACAGAGAGGGGCCACUAAGGGACCUGAUGGACUAUGGAGAUGUCAUGAUGGCAGGUUGGUGGCCCCCGCACACCUAUGUCCAGAGCUGAUCCGAGAGGGACAUGGGCUCACACAUGAGGGUAAAUUAAAGACUUUGCAGAAGGUGUCCUACAUUUGGUGGCACCCCCACAUGAAAGACAUGACAGACUUGUUUUGCGACGAGUGUAGCAUUUGUGGCAGCCACAAUCCAAAGAAACCAUAUCAAACACCAAUGGGUUCAUACCCAGUGCCCAAUGCCUGUUUCCAGGACAUUAGUAUAGACUACACUGACAUUGGGCCUGAUAAUGUAACUAAUGGAAAGAGAUACCUCUUAGUAAUGGUAGACAGGUUCUCUAAAUGGUUGAGGCAAUACCAACAGCACGUGAGGAUGCCAGGUCUGUCAUUAAGUGGCUACAGACUGAACUCAUACCAAGAUAUGGAGUUCCCAGGCAAAUCAGAUCCGACAACGGGUCCCAUUUCAGCAACCGACACCUGAAACAGGUGGAGGAGAGGUUCGGAAUUAUACACAAGUUUGGGUCUGUGUAUAAGCCGCAAUCCCAGGGGCUCGUGGAACGCGCUAACCAGACUUUGAAGGCUAAGAUAGCCAAAAUAUGUGCAGGUUUAAAGUUGACAUGGGUUGAAGCCCUGCCCCUGGCGUUGAUGGCCAUGAGAGCCUCUCCAGGUGCAAGCACCCAUCUCUCUCCUCAUGAGAUAAUGACUGGAAGAGUCAUGCCUGGUCCACCAAGGGAGGGAGGUCAUAUGCCCACCCUUGAUGUACAUCAAAUUGUAAUGUCUGAUUAUGUCAAAAACUGACAGAACUUUCUGCAGCUCUCUCCAAACAGAUCCACAAGGUCCAAGAGGGGGAGCUGACGGGAGAUCCGGUGCCACUGAAGGUAAAGGUUGGUGACUGGGUGAGGGUGAAGGUCCACAAGCGGAAGUGGCUUGAACCCAGGUGGGCUGGAUCGUACGAAGUGAAGGAGGUUACUUCACACUCAGUCCAGGUCAAAGGUAAAUCGGGCGCACCUUGGCACCACCUCACAAAUUGCACCCCAGCACCAACUCCUUCCAGAACAUUGACUGAGGUCAGGGCCGAUUUGAACGCCCUCAAUUUGACACCAAAUUCAGUUCCUCUGCCCUGUGACGAUGUGGAUGAGACUCCCAUCAACACAGGCUAGAGGGCCUAACCCAGGGAUGAGAUACAAAAAUCCCUGGGAUAGGCUGGGGAUCUCUGGUCCCUUGUUUGUUAUUUUCAUCCUAAUCACUGGAGUUUCCUUAGGAACUCUCACGUGGUUAUUUCAGCACAUGACACAUCCACCACACCCCAGCCAAGCUAAUGUCACAUCUAGCACCACUCUAUACAACAUCACUGAACACACCCAGAGCCAUGCCAUAUGCAAACGACACAUUGGACAAAUCACCCAGACUUGCGCAACUGACCAAGUGAGAAGCACUACCCUAUGUGUUCCUGUAAACACCACCACCACUGUUACCGUACCUUGGGGAAUGCUAGAGAGCUCUAGAAACAGUGGUACUGGGCCACUAUGGCAGACCACUUAUCAUUGGUAUAUGACAAAAGGGGGCCUGGAUGACUGGUCCUGGAAAAAUCUUGUCGCCGAAACGGGCCCAGACUGGUCUAGCUACUCAAGAGGAGCAGACCUCCCAUCCCAUCUUCUGUCACUAUAAAGGAUGAGCCGACAAAGGUGGUGGAGGCUGGAGGUCUGGGCAGGUGGAGACCCAUUACUAUGCUCACCACCGCACCCACGUUGGAUAGCGCUAUUCGUACGGCUACAGGGGUCUCUGGCCUUUCUAACAACGGGCUCCUUUUGACAGAGGAAGCAGGUAAGAUGACAAAUCAGAGUUGUGUGGUGUGCAUGGGGGGACGUCCGUUGCUCCGCAUUGUCCCAGCCACCAUUACUAUUGAAUGUUUCCUGCCUGUCAUGAAACACGAUAACCCACCCCAAAAUUGUUCCUUAUGGGAUAAGGUGUACCCUGUGGUUAGAAGCGUAGCCAAGAAACCCAUCUUCUCCUAUCAUGUGGCUAAGGCCAACUUCACGUGUGUGAAUCUCACCAUAGGGACUCCCACAUUGGGGACUGUUCCAAAAGGAUGGUGUUCACAUGUCCAUACACCUAAUUCUAUCUUUAAACCUGUCUCUAGGGCUGAUGUUUGGUGGUGGUGCGGAGGUUCAAGACUUUUUGAUGGGCUCCCGGGAAAUGUUUCUGCCACAUGUGCUCUAAUAUCUUUGAUACUUCCUAUUUCAGUUUACCCAACCCAUCCACAGAUCUGGAAUCCCCUGGUGAAGGCUUCCCUCUUAGGAGGACCAAACGUGAUGCCACUACUCCAGGGGAUGGCAUAGGGGCAUAGGGGAUGGCAUAGGGGUCCCAAGGGGGGUUCCAGAUGAGUACAAAUUGAUAGACCAAGUGGCAGCAGGUUUUGAAUCAUCUAUCUGCUGGUGGUGUACGGUAAACAAAAAUGUUGACAGAAUUAACUAUAUCCAUUACAAUGUGCAAAAACUAGGCAAUUGGACACAGCAAGGCUUUGAGGCAGUACAUGGUCAACUGUCUGCAACUUCCCUCAUGGCCUUCCAAAAUCAUAUUGCUAUUGAUAUGUUACUGGCCGAGAAAGGCGGGGUCUGUUCCAUGUUUGGGGAACAAUGUUGUACCUUUAUUCCCAAUAACACAGCCUUGGAUGGAAGCCUUACCGUUGCCCUGGAGGGACUUCGUACCCUUAAUGGUAAGAUGAAGAAACACUCUGGGGUGGACACCUCCAUGUGGGACUCAUGGAUGGAUGCGUUUGGCAAGUAUAAAACCCUGGUCUCAUCUAUCCUCGUUUCCAUUUCGGUUUUUGCAGCCAUCCUAGUCCUUUGUGGGUGCUGUUGCAUUCCAUGUGCCCGUACAUUGACUACUAGGGUUAUCACAUCAGCUAUUGAUCCGAAUCAAACUAGCCAAAUGUAUCCCUUGCUUGUAGUGGAGGAAGCUGAAAGUCUGUAUGAUGAAGGGCUCUAUUAGCCCAUGUGCCACGUCUCUUGUGAGACGUGAAGAGGGGGAAUCACAAAAUUUGUCCGCUGACAAAUUUUUAUCUUAUGCUUCUAUUGCCAGCCCAAGGUUCACGUCUUGAGACGUGAAGAGGGGGAUUUGUAAUAAAUAUAUCAUGCUAACAUUAUAAGCUUGCUAGUUGCAACAUAGAAGUUAAUCAUAUGCUUAUUAAGUAGGACGCUGUUGGAACCCAUCCUGUAUUACUUAAGUUGUCUACUGAGCCUCUCUAUUAAUGUUUGGUCAGUGUUUGGCCACACAGCGUGAGCCAAUAUAGAUUAGGCAUUGCACAGUAUCGAGUGAGCACACACACACACACAUACACACAUAGUCACCCACCAAGACGCAGGACCCCAAGUGGAAAACAGGAAACGCCCUAAUCACAAGGGUUUGCAACACAAGAUUAGGCUGCAACAUCUUGUGACCGAAAGACACACACAUGUCAAAACAACUUGCACACACACACACACACACACACACGCACACACACACGCACAUAACACAUAACUCAUAUUUGUCAAGCAUUCAAGGACAAAGGACUUACACCAGAACCAAUAGGAGAAGGACACCAGCAACACCGACGAAGGAGCUGAACCCGAGGACCAAUCAGACGAGAGGAACCUCCUAGACUCAACCUACAUCAUUUGUUGUAUAAAAUGUCAAUGCACAAUGUCUUGGGGGUUUUUUCUGAUAGUUCCCUCUGAGCUAAAUGAACGGGUCCGUGCAUGCUUUGUCAGAUAUUUUUACCUUUAAUAAACUGCCUUGAAUCAUACCUUA